GGUUGUGACACAUUGAAUCCCAUGCGACACUGAGAGCUGGUCGGAAUAAACACAUUGCUUGUACAAACCGUCUGAUCGUCCCAACCCAUACCACGACAACAAACUUACCCUCAAAGGAGAUCGCAAAAAGCCGCCGCCUGACCAGGGCUCAGAAAAUCUCCAAAGACUCCCCCCACCUCCACCAAGGACUGCUGGACUCUAGGAAAAGGUUCCAAAGCAGAACCUCCAGGUUCUGUAACAGCUUCUUCUCUCAGGCCGAGCUGUGGAACCCGGAGCAAGCAUGCUCCCCUGGACUGACAGUGGGUUUGCUGCCACAUUCACUCCCUGAAUCGCAGCUGUUGGCUUGUUGGAGGACACCAUCAAGACAAUAAGGUGGAAUAAACGCCAAACAGAUGUUACUCCCCCAGUUCCCACCACAGCUAUUGAUGGACACAACAGGAUUUUUUUUUUUCAAAGGCAGGGUCUGGGUUUUCAGCUCAGAGGUCAGCCGAAUAGCUUUUACUAAGGUGAUGACAUCAAAAUUUUAUUAAGAUGUCUUAUUUAUGUGACUGGGUUGGCCCAUUAACCUGAAAACCGAAUAAAACCUCAUUCAAUUCCAUUGUCCUAGAUCAGGGACAAUGGAGCCAUAUUUGACCAAAAAUACAAAAAUCCGCCUGGAGCCUCAAAAAAAUAUAAGCCAUAUUACAUACAUAAAGUGUGUCAUGAGAUAUACAUUGAAUUAUGAGGACUUAAAGGCCUACUGAAACCCACUACUACCGACCACGCAGUCUGAUAGUUUAUAUAUCAAUGAUGAAAUAUUAACAUUGCAACACAUGCCAAUACGGCCGGUUUAGUUUACGAAAUUGCAAUUUUAAAUCAGGCUUGCCACUGACAGUUUGUUUGUGUUUUAGUUUUUCCUCCGUGUGUUUAGUAUUUCCUGUUUUUAGUUCCUGUCAGCGUUCUUAUUUCCUGUUUUUUCCCCCUGUGCGCUGUUUUCCCUUAGCUGCGGCUGAUUGGCACCUGGCCACACCUGGUGUCAAUCAGCCCGAUUUUAUUUGAACCUGUUUUGUCGGGGCAGCAUAGCUCGGUUGGUAGAGUGGCUGU